UGCGUAGGGGGCCAGCGUUGUCCGGACUUACUGGGCGUAAAGCGCGCGCAGGUGGACGAGUAUGUGCCGUGUGAAAGCGCCGUCCUUACGAUGGUGAGGUCAUGGUAGACAGCUUGUCUAGAGGCUCGAAGAGGUUGAUGGAAUUCCGGGUGGAGCGGUGAAAUGCGCAGAUAUCAGGAAGAACACCCGUGGCGAAAGCGGCUCUCUGGAACGGUACUGACGCUGAGACGCGAAAGCGUGGGGAGCGAACAGG
rnacentral:rRNA from 1 species